rnacentral:lncRNA from 1 species
UACCAUUUUUAUUAUAUUGUUGGUUUACGGGUUGAGCGAGCAUUGGUUUUCCGGAAGUUAUGUUCCUCGGUAAGGUUUUAAUGAAGCUCAACUCAUUGUACGUUUGACAUGGAUCGAUCUCCUUGUUUAUUUUUAAUUUUUACUUUUUAUUUAUUUAUUCAUUUUUUUGCGUGUUGCAGGUUAAAUUUCUUCCCAUUCGAGGUGCAGUCUUGUUGUUGCAUUACUCAAGUGAUUCUCUUUCUACCCUUUUCUUUGCAAAAAAAUGAUUUUUUCAGUUAUGUUUUUGAAGUGGUGUUAUGUUUGAAUUGAAUUGAUGGUUUGUAAUGCUUCAAGUUGUUGCUAUUCUACGUCAUCCUGCUCUGUGAUGAAAUGUUUUGCUUUAAUUAAUAAUUAUGUGAUCAUUUUAUGCAUUGAGCAUAAGGUAUGGAAACACUUGAUCUUCAAGGUGUUAUUGAUGAUUUUAUUUUUCAAAAUGUUGAAAGAUUUAAAUUAUUUUAAUAGAUAUUUUAUCAUUGUCUUUUGGUUAUUGCACUUUAUAGAUUAAAGUUAUAUCGUCACACAAGUAUGGAAGAUGAUUAUACGUUAUUUAUAGCUAAUAAUAAAAAUAUUGAAGUUUCAUUUCUUAAAGAGCUACUCCCUCCGUCCCACUCCAAUAGGCUCGCUUUCCUUUUUGGGACGUCCCACUCCAAUAGGCCCAGUCUAAAAUUGAAAAUAAUUAGGGCUUUAAUAAAAUUCAAUAGUUACUUAAUUAAAGGAGAUAUACCCUUUAAUCUACUCAUUCAAAAUAAUUUCACUUCAGAUUUUUCCCCUCUCUCUCCGGGAACCUUCCCCUUCCCCCUUCCCCUUUCCGUCAACUUCCCCACCGCCGCCGUCAAAUUUAACAAUAAUAAUAGAAAUUAAACGAAAUUUCAUCCAAUUUAUGGCUAACAAAUUACGGAUGGAAAAUGCCGACAAAGAGAAUGACCGUUUAAUUUGAGGGACACCUUAAUCCCUCAAAACGUCAUUUUAAUUGCAAUAGGGGGAAUGUUUUGUUCCUAAUCUAUUUAAUAUAUUAAAGGAUUACACGUUGAAGAGCUCACAAUCAUUCUCUAUCCUAGGUGGCACUCUAGAAUGCUUAUAUUUCUAAUUUUCUAAAUCCUUCAUAUUUCAUGCCUCUUAAAUCCAAAAAAUCCAAAAAAAA